AUUUGAGUAGUUUAUAAAAAAUAUAGAGUUGUGGUUUCUAAGAAACAAAUAAGUCUUAAGUU
rnacentral:tRNA from 1 species